CGAUGAGUGCGAUCACGUGGAGUGGUGCGCAGUGCACACUGCGCACGCCGGUUGAGUGACGGUUCAUUGUAAUUGGAUAUAUUGAGUGAGCUGUUAGAAACUACGGACUUAUACACAGUAUAACCAAUUACAAUGAAGAACGCCACUCAAUAUAACCAAUUACAAUGAAGAUCGCCACCGCACCACGUGACUGCACUGAGCAAUAGUAGUGACGUACAGCAACGUACAGCGGCGUUGAAGCGAACGAAAAAAAAUUAUGGAAAUACGAACAUUUAUCAUAUAGUACGAAGCAUUCUAUUUAUGGUCAGAAGAAACUUUAAAAAAAGGCAAAUUUCUCUUUUAACAAUAAAUUGGAUCAAUUUGCUGUUCGCCUCAAACAUUCCGGUUCUCCGCAAUCCUCAUCCAACUUCCACCAGCGAUCGGCCGAGUCG
rnacentral:misc_RNA from 1 species